UGCGCAGUGCAGGAAAUUUCACGACGCAUUGAGCAGAACGCAGAACUUAACUAGAACUUCCUGCGAAGCUUAAAUCAGAAAUAUGGAUGCAUUUUUGGUUUUGCAGUCAUCAAAAACGAUCAAGGAUAAAGCAUGACGAACAUGCAAAAAAAAUAUUUUUUAAAUGCUGACCGCGGUCCUCUACGACCCGGGGGACACAAGUACUAUGAGAACUUCAAGCUACUUUUGAUGUACAAUCACCGGGAACCAAGACAGAAAGAUGGCGGCACCCUGGCCGACCGGUUAGCACAUCUCCCUCACAGUUCUGAGGACCCGGGUUCCAAUCGGACCUUGCCUGUGUGGACUUUGCAUGUUCUCCCCAUUGCCUGCUUGGGUUUUCUCCAGGUACCACGGUUUCCUCCCAAAUCCCCCCCAAAAACAUGCAGCAGUAGGUUAAUUGAAAACUCAAAUUUGCCCGUAGGUGUGAGUGCGAAUGGUUGUUUGUUUAUACUGUAUGUGUCCUGCGAUUGGCUGGCGACCAGUUCAGGGUGUGACCCUGCCUCUCACCCAGAGUCAGCUGGGAUAGGCUCCAGCACGCCCGCGACCCUAGUGAGGCUAAGCGGUGGAUGGAUGUUAAAACAUAAGUGUAAAGUAACAGAUUGACUACAAACAAAUGAAUAGUGUGAGGAAUGUGCUAAUGACUCUACAGUAUAACUAGGCAUGAAAAUAAAUGAUUUUAACUUCA